rnacentral:lncRNA from 1 species
UUUACCAACUAUUUCAUAUAAAAGAAGCGGAGGAAGCCACAUCAAAAGGACAGUUAGCAAAUGUAUUUUUACUGUACGCAACAAAACUAUUGGUGUAAAAUUAAAACAUGUAGCAAUAAAUGGGGUAUUACAUUUACUUACAGAUAGCAAGUCCAAAGAUGCAUUAACACAUAAUUUGAAAAUUUUGGAAUGUUCUAUUCCAUAUCAUCAAAAUGGAAUAAAUAUUAUAACUCCAUCCUAACCCUUAAUAAUAAACAAUGUCCCAACCCGACCCUAAUCUCUAAAUAUUAAAUCCUAAACCCUAAUCACUAAACCCUAAACCCAAUUAUAUAUCUUAAAUUCAAAUAUAAACUCUAAAUUCAAAUAGAAUAGAAUAACCCCUAAAUACUAACCUCAACCCCUAAACACUAACCCUAAACACUAAUCACUAAACCCAAACCAAAAUAUAAAUUAUAAUAUA